AUUAGUCUUUUAAUUGAAGGCUUGUAUGAAUGGUUGGACAAAAAGCAAACUGUCUCAGUUGUAAUAAUUGAAUUUAACUUUUGAGUGAAAAGGCUUAAAUAAGUUAGGGGGACGAUAAGACCCUAUAAAGCUUGACAAUAAGCCGUUUAUAUUAUAAAUUGUUAGUAUAACUUGAUUUUAAAUGGUGUUUGUUGCGUUGGGGCGACGAGAAUAUAAAAGAUAACUGUUCUUAUAAUAUUUAAUAACAGAAAUAGCUGGAAAAUUAAUGAUCCUUUCUUUAAGAUCAUAAGAUUAAGUUACUUUAGGGAUAACAGCGUAAUCUUCCUUGAGAGUUCAUAUCGACAGGAAGGGUUGCGACCUCGAUGUUGAAUUAAGGUAUCCUUAUAAUGCAGCAGUUAUAAAGGAAGGUCUGUUCGACCUUUAAAUC
rnacentral:rRNA from 1 species